GGAAGUAAAAGUCGUAUCAAGGUUUCCGUAGGUGAACCUGCGGAAGGAUCAUUAAAGUUAUAGUCCCCCGGCCCCUCCGGGCUGGGGUCUUCUAUACCACCCUUUGUUUAUUACACCUUUGUUGCUUUGGCAGGCCUGCCCUCGGGCUGCUGGCUCCGGCCGGCUCGUGCCUGCCAGAGGACCUAAACUCUGUUUGUAUAUGAAGUCUGAGUACUAUAUAAUAGUUAAAACUUUCAACAACGGAUCUCUUGGUUCUG
rnacentral:misc_RNA from 1 species